rnacentral:sRNA from 1 species
AGGCACUCAAUGCUUGCAUAAUGCCAAUUUUUAGCGCACGGCUCGACAAUAAGAGCCCUUCCCAUAGACCUGACACAGGAAUCGUGACGGGUCUUUUUUU